rnacentral:rRNA from 1 species
GACGAACGCUGGCGGCGUGCCUAAUACAUGCAAGUAGAACGCUGAAGAGAGGAGCUUGCUCUUCUUGGAUGAGUUGCGAACGGGUGAGUAACGCGUAGGUAACCUGCCUUGUAGCGGGGGAUAACUAUUGGAAACGAUAGCUAAUACCGCAUAAAAAUGGAUGAAACAUGUCAUUUAUUUGAAAGGGGCAAUUGCUCCACUACAAGAUGGACCUGCGUUGUAUUAGCUAGUAGGUGAGGUAAAGGCUCACCUAGGCGACGAUACAUAGCCGACCUGAGAGGGUGAACGGCCACACUGGGACUUGGACACGGCCCAGACUCCUUCGGGAGGCAGCAGGAGGGGAUCUUCGGCAAUGGGGGCAACCCUGACCGAACAACGCCGCGUGAGUGAAGAAGGUUUUCGGAUCGUAAAGCUCUGUUGUGAGUCAAGAACGGGUGUGAGGGUGGAAAGUUCACACUGUGACGGUAGCUUACCAGAAAGGGACGGCUAACUACGUG